rnacentral:piRNA from 1 species
UAUAUUGCUAAUUUCUCAAAC